rnacentral:lncRNA from 1 species
CGCCCCUCCGCCUGGCAGAGAAGUGCUUGCUGGCAGUGGGAGACUCAAAGCAGCAGGAGUUCAAAGCAGAAUGCACUCAAGCUGCUGUUCCCUAAUUGAGGCACUGUGCACAGUUCAUCUUGUUUGGACUUAGAAACCUCAGUCUAGAAGAAACUAGCCCAAGGGAUACAGACGGGACGGAACAAUGGCCGGCAGCUCUCCCGGACUCCUGGCCACUCCCCAAAUGAGUCUAGAAGAUAAGCAACCAGGAAACCUAAGGAUGACAAUGUAUUUGAAUUCAU